UCAAGCGCGAGAAGGGCGUUUGGUGAAUGCCUUGGCAGUAAGAGGCGAUGAAAGACGUGAUACUCUGCGAUAAGCCAUGGGGAGCUGAGAAUAAGCUUUGAUCCAUGGAUUUCUGAAUGGGGCAACCCACCUAACAGUUUGUUAUUAUUACCCUUCGGGGUACUUAAUAAUGGGCUGAGAUAGGUACUUUUAGACUGAAUACAUAGGUUUAAAAGAGCAAACCCGGGGAACUGAAACAUCUAAGUACCCGGAGGAAAGGAAAUCAAUAUGAUACUCCCCUAGUAGCGGCGAGCGAACGGGGACCAGCCGAGCCGUAAUUGUGAAUAGAAUAACCUGGAAAGGUUAACCAUAGUGGGUGACAGUCCCGUAUAUGAAGCAUGAUCGGACGUAUUAAGUAGGGCGGAACACGUGAAAUUCUGUCUGAAGAUCGGAGGACCACCUUCGAAGGCUAAGUACUCCUUACUGACCGAUAGUGAACCAGUACCGUGAGGGAAAGGUGAAAAGCACCCCGACGAGGGGAGUGAAACAGUACCUGAAACCGAACGCCUACAAACAGUUGGAGGGACCUUGAGUCCUGACAGCGUACCUUUUGUAUAAUGGGUCAUCGACUUGGUCUAUCUAGCAAGCUUAAGCCGUUAGGUGUAGGCGCAGCGAAAGCGAGUCUUAAUAGGGCGAAUGAGUUAGGUGGAUCAGACCCGAAACCGAGUGAUCUAGGCAUGACCAGGUUGAAGGUGCAGUAACAUGCACUGGAGGACCGAACCCACAUCUGUUGAAAAAGAUCGGGAUGAGUUGUGCCUAGGGGUGAAAGGCCAAUCAAACUCGGAGAUAGCUGGUUCUCCGCGAAAUCUAUUUAGGUAGAGCGUCAUCCGAAUACCCCGGGGGGUAGAGCACUGGAUGGGUAAUGGGGCCUCACCGGCUUACUGAUCCUAACCAAACUCCGAAUACCCGGGAGUACUAGAUGGCAGACACACAGCGAAUGCUAACGUCCGUUGUGGAGAGGGAAACAACCCUGACCUACAGCUAAGGCCCCCAAUUCAUGGCUAAGUGGGAAAGCAGGUGGGACGACCAAAACAACCAGGAAGUUGGCUUAGAAGCAGCCAUCUUUUAAAGAUAGCGUAACAGCUCACUGGUCUAAAUAAGUUGUCCUGCGGCGAAGAUGUAACGGGGCUCAAGCCAUGAGCCGAAGCUGAGGAUGCAUUUAUUGCAUGGUAGCAGAGCGUAGUGUGACAUAGUUCCACGUCUCUUUUGCUUUACAGCGGAUUGCCGCGCUCUAGUAGCGUAGCGGUAGCGCAUAAACUAUUGGAGACAUGGAGCUUUCUGUGAAGCCGGCGCGUGAGCGAUCCGGUGGAGAGAUCACUAGUGAGAAUGAUGACAUGAGUAGCGACAAAGAGUGUGAGAGACACUCUCGCCGAAAGUCCAAGGGUUCCUGCUUAAAGCUAAUCUGAGCAGGGUAAGCCGACCCCUAAGGCGAGGCCGAAAGGCGUAGUCGAUGGGAACCAGGUUAAUAUUCCUGGGCCAGAUGGAAGUGACGGAUCUCGAGGGUAGUUCAUCCUUAUCGGAUUGAAUGGGCUGCUUAGAGGUCCCUGGAAAUAGCUCCAUCGCUAGAUCGUACCCUAAACCGACACAGGUGGAUAGGUAGAGAAUACCAAGGCGCUUGAGAGAACUAUGUUGAAGGAACUCGGCAAAAUACCUCCGUAAGUUCGCGAGAAGGAGGCCCGGUUUCUACGCAAGUGGAAGCUGGGGGCACAAACCAGGGGGUGGCGACUGUUUAUUAAAAACACAGGGCUCUGCGAAGUCGUAAGACGACGUAUAGGGUCUGACGCCUGCCCGGUGCCUGAAGGUUAAAAGGAGGGGUGAGAGCUCCGAAUUGAAGCCCAGGUAAACGGCGGCCGUAACUAUAACGGUCCUAAGGUAGCGAAAUUCCUUGUCGGG
rnacentral:rRNA from 1 species